ACACCUCAACUCUCAUGGCUUGCCAUGAUGAGCUUGGACUUUGGGGGUCUUGCCGGCCUAUGGUUGGCUCCUCUCAAAUGGAUCAGCUUGCCAGUGUUUGGUGGCAUCACAAGUGUGAUAACUAUCUACGCUUGUGGUUUUCCAUCAGGUAACCUUCAGUGAUGGAGGUUCGCUGGUGCUCAUAAACGUCUCUCCUCAGUGGAGACAGCUCUUUGGAC
rnacentral:misc_RNA from 2 species